CGCGUAGGCGGCGAGUACAGUCGGACGUGAAAUUCCCGGGCUCAACCUGGGGGCUGCGUUCGAUACGUGCUUGCUUGAGUCCGGAAGAGGGUGAUGGAAUUCCCAGUGUAGAGGUGAAAUUCGUAGAUAUUGGGAAGAACACCGGUGGCGAAGGCGGUCACCUGGUCCGGUACUGACGCUGAGGCGCGAAAGCGUGGGGAGCAAACAGGAUUAGAUACCCUGGUAGUCCACGCCGUAAACGAUGUGCGCUGGAUGUUGGACAGUCUGACUGUUCAGUGUCGUAGCCAACGCGAUAAGCGCACCGCCUGGGGAGUACGGCCGCAAGGUUGAA
rnacentral:rRNA from 1 species